ensembl:lncRNA
ACAAACUUGUACCAUUUACGUUCUGCGACGUUACCAAGUAAAACACGACAAUUUACCCAGUAAUUAAGCUGAAACUGUACUGUAAAAGGAAGCCUUGUUUGUUUCCAUGGUAUUACCAUGUUCUUACCAUAUAAUUUGUAAUACAUUAUUCCCUUUUACAUGCAGUCAACACAAACUUGUACCAUGUACGUUCUGCGACGUUACCAAGUAAAACACGACAAUUUACCCAGUAAUUAAGCUGAAACUGUACUGUAAAAGGAAGCCUUGUUUGUUUCCAUGGUAUUACCAGGUUCUUACCAUAUAAUUUGUAAUAUAUUAUUCCCUUUUCCAUGCAGUCAACACAAAUUUGUACCAUGUACGUUCUGCGACGUUACCAAGUAAAACACGACAAUUUACCCAGUAAUUAAGCUGAAACUGUACUGUAAAAGGAAGCCUUGUUUGUUUCCAUGGUAUUACCAGGUUCUUACCAUAUAAUUUGUAAUACAUUAUUCCCUUUUCCAUGCAGUCAACACAAACUUGUACCAUGUACGUUCUGCGACGUUACCAAGUAAAACACGACAAUUUACCCAGUAAGUUAGCUGAAACUGUACUGUAAAAGGAAGCCUCGUUU